rnacentral:pre_miRNA from 1 species
AUAUACAUUAUAUAUGUGUAUAAAUGUAUACACAUAUAUUAUGUAUACACAUUCAUAUGUGUAUACAUAGAUAAACAUAUGUGUUUAUA